GUCGACGGGAUCCAGGGCGUAGCUUGCUACAAACUGGUGAGAGUGGCGCACGGGUGCGUAACGCGUGAGCAACCUACCCAUAUCAGGGGGAUAGCCCGAAGAAAUUCGGAUUAGCACCGCAUGACACAGCGAUCUGGCAUCAGAAUGCUGUUAAAUAUUUAUAGGAUAUGGAUGGGCUCGCGUGACAUUAGCUAGUUGGUAAGGUAACGGCUUACCAAGGCUACGAUGUCUAGGGGCUCUGAGAGGAGAAUCCCCCACACUGGUACUGAGACACGGACCAGACUCCUACGGGAGGCAGCAGUAAGGAAUAUUGGUCAAUGGAGGGAACUCUGAACCAGCCAUGCCGCGUGCAGGAUGACUGCCCUAUGGGUUGUAAACUGCUUUUGUACGGGAAUAAACACUGGUACGUGUACCAGCUUGAAUGUACCGUAAGAAUAAGGAUCGGCUAACUCCGUGCCAGCAGCCGCGGUAAUACGGAGGAUCCGAGCGUUAUCCGGAUUUAUUGGGUUUAAAGGGUGCGUAGGCGGCCUGUUAAGUCAGGGGUGAAAUACGGUGGCUCAACCAUCGCAGUGCCUUUGAUACUGAUGGGCUUGAAUCCAUUUGAAGUGGGCGGAAUAAGACAAGUAGCGGUGAAAUGCAUAGAUAUGUCUUAGAACUCCGAUUGCGAAGGCAGCUCACUAAGCUGGUAUUGACGCUGAUGCA
rnacentral:rRNA from 1 species